UACGGGGGGAGCAAGCGUUGUUCGGAUUUACUGGGCGUAAAGGGCGCGUAGGCGGCCACCGCAAGUCGGUUGUGAAAUCUCCGGGCUUAACCCGGAAAGGUCAAUCGAUACUGCGGGGCUAGAGUGCAGAAGGGGCAACUGGAAUUCUCGGUGUAGCGGUGAAAUGCGUAGAUAUCAGGAGGAACACCGAUGGCGAAGGCAGGUCUCUGGGCCGAUACUGACGCUGAGGAGCGAAAGCGUGGGGAGCGAACAGG
rnacentral:rRNA from 1 species